GACGAACGCUGGCGGCGUGCCUAAUACAUGCAAGUCGAACGCAGUGGGGCCGGGUGAGCAACACGUGGGUAACCUCCCAUCAGAGGGGAUAACACUUGGACACAGGUGCUAAACCGGUACUGAUGGCUGGACCCGCGGUGCAUUAGCUAGUUGGGGAGGUAACGGCUCACCAAGGCGACGAUGCAUAGCGGGCCGUAGAGGGUGAUCGGCCACACUGGAACUGAGACACGGUCCAGACUCCGACGGGAGGCAGCAGUGGGGAAUCUUGGACAAUGGGCGAAAGUCUGACCCAGCAACGCCGCGUGUGUGAAGAAGGUUUGCGGAUCGGAAAACUCUGUUGGUUGGGAGGCGGUAUCUAACCAGAAAGCCACGGCUAACUCCGUGCCAGCAGCCGCGGUAAUUC
rnacentral:rRNA from 1 species